AUUGAACGCUGGCGGCAGGCCUAACACAUGCAAGUCGAGCGAGCGGCGGACGGGUGAGUAAUGUAUGGGGAUCUGCCCGAUAGAGGGGGAUAACUACUGGAAACGGUGGCUAAUACCGCAUACUAUCGGAUGUACCCAUAUGGGAUUAGCUAGUAGGGGGGGUAAAGGCUCACCUGGGCGACGAUCUCUAGCUGGUCUGGGAGGAUGAACAGCCACACUGGGACUGAGACACGGGCCAUACUCCUACGGGAGGCAGCAGUGGGGAAGAUUGCACAAUGGGCGCAAGCCGGAUGCAGCCAUGCCGCGUGUAUGAAGAAGGCCUUCGGGUUGUAAAGUACUUUCAGCGGGGGGGCGUUACCCGCAGAAGAAGCACCGGCUAACUCCGUGCCAGCAGCCGCGGUAAUAC
rnacentral:rRNA from 1 species